CCCGAGGCCUUUGGUUAUUUUGGCUGGGCCCAGCUUGGCCAGGAGCAAGGCAUGGUCUAGAAGUGCAAAAACUCUUCGGAAAGUGCCUUCCUUCGCCCCCAGAGUUUGGCGUCCAAACCCAUUCAACGAGGCAAGGAUCUUGUCUCCUCCUGACUUCACGUAGAGCAUUGCAUCCAGAGCGUGCAACCGCUGUACUCCUGCUAACGCCGGCCAGCUCCCUGGCACCACGAGGCUCAUGCAAGAGGGAAUUUCAGACUCGGGACCUUUUAUUCCCAAGUGUCUCUUGGUGUUUUCCAGCAGCUGCUGCUUGGAAGUCCUCUCCGCGCUCAGGCCAGGUGAGCGUAGGCACCUGAAAUGGAGAUUGACAGUGUUUGCACCAGUAUCUAAAGUGGGACUGUGAGAUGAUUGAUGCUGCUAGUGAGGAUUAUUACUUGGAAAAGCAAGAUGAGAAGGGACUUCCAGAGCAUCAUAGCUAGUCCAACCCCUGCCUGAAGCAGGAUCAGCCCUGUCCAAACCACCCCAGACAAGUGCUUUUUCAAGUUCUGCUGGAUUUAACUAAAAACCAUUCAAGGCCCCUUCCUUCUCGGUGACACUCGGAAGAGAAAGCAUCCUCCAGGCAGCACUGGGCACACGUGCAAGGUUGGAGCUCUCCAGGACAGAUCCAGUCUAGGGCCCGUGUUGCACCUUGAGCUGUGAGCUGCACAGAUGUUGAUCGGCUUCGUGCUAGUUCGGAGCAGCCGCACCUGCAACUGGAGCAGCACAUCUGGGGGGCCGGGGGGGUGGCCACAUGUUUGCAACAGGAGCUGUGUUGCAUGGGUCAAGAGAUCAUCCUGCCCCGGAGAGGCAUCACUUUGAAGGGAUCAAACCCACGACCUGGGUGUUACUAGCACCACGACUUGGAGCUGGAAGAGACGCACGCGUCCAGGCACUUCUCUCUUCGGAGAUGGGGCGGUGGCUGCCGAGCGCCGGGCUCCUCUGCAUCGCAGAGACGGGACCUGCCCUGAGGGGCUCGACACCUCCAAGAGAUGGGGUGGGUCCAGGAUUUGGGAAAAGGGGGUGCAGGACCAGCACCCUGCAGUGCAGAUAUGGAGGCAGCCCUAGUGCCCAGCCUCCUCCGCCCCUUCCAAUACGGGCAGACUGUCUGCAGGCACCUACGGGCUUUUUAAAAAUCCCCGAAGCAGGUGAAAAUCCUUCCCUUUCACCUCAUUUAAGGGCUUGAAGAAGUCCCCCGGAGGCUCCCUGAUCCAGAAGGGGUGCAGCUGUGCCACUGCUCCCGCUCUGGAUCCACCCCGGGAAAGAGAGGAGACGGUGGAAGUGGAAACGGCGGUGUGGCUGCUGGCCAGAGCUGGGACCCCAACACGGACACAUCCUAGCCCCGUGCCCUUCCUCCCCACAGCCCGCUGCCCUUGGGCAGGGAAGAUCAGCCCUUGCUUUGCUGGCAGAGGUGGUCCCUUGGACUUCCUCAGACCCCUCCCAAGAGCGCUUGACCUCAGGGAGGAGGCAGCACGAACGGCUCGCCCUCUGCACCCACGCCAGCCCGUCCCUCCACUGCCGGUCUGCUCCCCGCCUGCCCUGGCAGCAGUUCUGGGACGCUCCUCGCACACGCCAGAUCCAGUGACUUCCAGGCUCUGUUUGGGAGCGCUUGGCACCCUUUGUCCCAUCGGCUCGCGACAGGACCACAGCACGCAGACAGCCUUUCUUAGGAGCUCGAUGAACAUCAGGGCUGGGGAAGCUGGCAGCACGCAUACCAGGACCCCCUCUGCAGAUGCAAGGCAGGUAGCUUCUCGGGCUUUUUAUCAACUUUCUCCCCCAAGACACAAAUUGCUUAUUUUCCUGCCCAAAAUGCUAGUUUCAGGUUCAUGAGGAUCCGGGUUUUGCUGUGGCACCUACAGGAAAAUAACACGCAAGCCUCUUCGAAGCCCAGUGCACACGAGGCCCCUCCAGGGUGGGCAGAGGUGAGCUCUUCCCACCCUGAUGCCAGGGAGAUUCCCUGGGGGAACGCACCUCGAUCCAGCCGUGCCGCUUACCCAGGAGUUGAGUUGGCGUCAGGCUCCGCAGGCAUGUCUACACGUGC